AUACGUAGGGGGCGAGCGUUGUCCGGAAUGAUUGGGCGUAAAGGGCGCGUAGGCGGCCCGGUAAGUCUGGAGUGAAAGUCCUGUUUUUAAGAUGGGAAUUGCUUUGGAUACUGUCGGGCUUGAGUGCAGGAGAGGUAAGUGGAAUUCCCAGUGUAGCGGUGAAAUGCGUAGAGAUUGGGAGGAACACCAGUGGCGAAGGCGACUUACUGGACUGUAACUGACGCUGAGGCGCGAAAGUGUGGGGAGCAAACAGGAUUAGAUACCCUGGUAGUCCACACUGUAAACGAUGAAUGCUAGGUGUAGGGGGUAUCGACCCCCUCUGUGCCGCAGUCAACACAAUAAGCAUUCCGCCUGGGGAGUACGGCCGCAAGGUUGAAACUCAAAGGAAUUGACGGGG
rnacentral:rRNA from 1 species